CACGUAGGGCGCAAGCGUUGUCCGGAAUUAUUGGGCGUAAAGAGCUCGUAGGCGGUCUGUUGCGUCCGCUGUGAAAACUCGGGGCUUAACCCCGAGCCUGCAGUGGAUACGGGCAGACUAGAGGUAGGUAGGGGAGAAUGGAAUUCCCGGUGUAGCGGUGAAAUGCGCAGAUAUCGGGAGGAACACCGGUGGCGAAGGCAGGUCACUGGGCCGCAACUGACGCUGAGGAGCGAAAGCAUGGGGAGCGAACAGG
rnacentral:rRNA from 1 species